GUGCUUGCUUCGGCAGCACAUAUACUAAAAUCGGAACAACACAGAGAAGAUUAGCAUGGCCCCUGCACAAGGAUGACACACAAAUUCAUGACGCGUUCCAUAUUUUA
ensembl:snRNA U6 U6 spliceosomal RNA